GAGCAAGUGCGUCAAUUGUUUCAAUGAUGAAUUACUUGCAUUGAAGGUUGGCAAUAGUAUGAACGAUUCUCCGUGCCUAUCAAAUUUUUCAGUUUUGAAUACGGCCUCGAACAAAUCGCAACACU